GGUGGUAGCUCAGUGGUAGAGUGCUUGCCUUGCUUGCAUGAGGCCCUGGGUUUGGUCCCCAGCACCACUU
rnacentral:tRNA from 1 species